rnacentral:tRNA from 1 species
GCCCUCGUGGUGUAGCGGUCAGCACGCUCGAUGCUGUGUAGUGUAGUGGUCAGCACGGCCGAGAGGUCCGUGGUUCGAUUCCUGGCGAAGGCA